AGUGAAUUCUGGCUUCUUCUUGACAAUCUUCUGGACAUUCUCAUCAUUCCUGAACCAUGUCACAGUGGGAUAUGGCGAUCCAGAAAUGUGGGCAUCCACUCUAAUCUCCUCACCCUUCCUGAUGGAUCUGCAGCCUUAAUUAGGGGAGUGCUGCGGGAAGGUUCACUUUCUCCAGCCACAUUCUCUGCACGAACACGGAACUGAUAUUCCUUGCCUUCUGUCAAGCCAGUGAUGGUAUAGGAGAAACCAGGCACCAGGGUCAGUUGGCUCACUUGGCUCACUCUCUCCAGCAACAUUUACAGCUUUGACACGGAAGGAGUAUUCCUGCUUCUCCAUCAGUCCCUUCAGCAAGUGCUCUGUCAUAGGCACAUCCUCAGCAACACGAACCCAUUCUUCAGUUCCACUCUUGAGGAGCUCAAUGAUAUAAGACUCAAUUUUAGCACCACCAUCAUGCUCUGGUCUAGUCCAUUGCAGGAAUGCAGAGGUAUUAGCGAUGUCUUUGAUGUAUGGUUUGCCAGGGGCCCAUGGAGGAUCUAUAAAAGAAUUAAUUUUUUUUUUUCUGAUCUUUUUUGUAUCAAAGCAAAUAACUUGACCUUAUGUGUUAUUGCAACAUACCAAUUGGAUCCUUAAUCAAGAUGGGAUCUGUUUCAAUACUUGGUUUUCCUGCUCCUGCAAGGUUCUCAGCCAGAAUACGGAAUUUGUACUUUUUCUUUGUGGCCAGACCUUUUACUCUGCAGUAAACACCCAUGGUGUUCUUGCAUUAACAUUUUAAAAUACAUUUGUUAUAUUUGUCCAUAUUCUGAUUGUGUAUAAGGUCUUACCUGAGUGUAGUGUCUCUGAUUGGCAGCUUGUUGCAUUUGAUCCAUUUGUCACUUUCUGGAUCAAACCUCUCUACCCAGUAGCCAGUGAUUGGACUUCCACCAUCCUCAUCAGGCUCAUACCAGGUCAAAGUUACAGCAUCCUUUGAGAUAUCAGAGGGCUGCACCCUGCUUGGGGAACCAGGAGGCUCUAAAUAAUAGGAAGGAAACAUAGUAGCAUUUGCACCUAUUUAAAAGACCAACACAAUUAAGCUGUAAUGGGGUAAAUACUUACCAAAUGGAUACUUGGCAACAAUCGGAGCAUGCUCUGUGGGGGUACCAAUGCCAUAUUGGUUCUCAGCAGAUACCCUGAAAACAUACUCCUUCAAAGACACCAGUUUGCAGGCCUUGAAAGUGGUCUGCUUGACAGUUGCAGAGAGCUUCUGCCACUCCUCCUUUUCCAAAGGUCUCAUUUCCACAAUGUAGUUGGUUACAGGAGAUCCACCAUCAUCUCUGGGGGCAUUCCAAGCCAGACAACAGGACUCAUUGGUAAUGUCAGAAAUAUCAAAAGCAGCUGGGGGACCAGGCUUAUCUGUUAAGAACACAGCAAAAAGACCAAAUGGAAAUUGCUUGAAUUCAUAGUAUAAAUAUUAUAAAAUUUUAGCGUCAAAUUUUAUGACACUUGCUUUUCUCCGUCUACGUGUUACCUCUUGGUACACUCAUUCAAAAGCAUGAAAUCAGUUUUCAUAGUUAGGCAGAUAACACAACUUUAUACAUCAGUGUCAUAGGGUAAGCAAGAGCCAGUUAACAAAUUGACUACAUGCUUGAAUGAAAUAUCUGACUGGAUGUCACAGAACUUUCUACAGUUAAACCAGGAUAAAAUGGAGAUAUUGAUUGUAGGAAAUAAACAAAAA